UCCAGACUCCUACGGGAGGCAGCAGUGGGGGAUAUUGGACAAUGGGGGAAACCCUGAUCCAGCGACGCCGCGUGAGUGAAGAAGUAUUUCGGUAUGUAAAGCUCUCUCAGCAGGGAAGAAAGAAAUGACGGUACCUGACCAAGAAGCCCCGGCUAACUACGUGCCAGCAGCCGCGGUAAUACGUAGGGGGCAAGCGUUAUCCGGAUUUACUGGGUGUAAAGGGAGCGUAGACGGUUAUGUAAGUCUGGAGUGAAAGCCCGGGGCCCAACCCCGGGACUGCUUUGGAAACUGUGUAACUGGAGUACAGGAGGGGCAGGCGGAAUUCCUGGUGUAGCGGUGAAAUGCGUAGAUAUCAGGAGGAACACCGGCGGCGAAGGCGGCCUGCUGGACUGAAACUGACGUUGAGGCUCGAAAGCGUGGGGAGCAAACAGGAUUAGAUACCCUAGUACC
rnacentral:rRNA from 1 species